rnacentral:tRNA from 1 species
GGAGGGAUAGCUCAGUUGGUAGAGCAGUAUAAAUGAAAAUUACACUUUGUUCAAUGUUCCACAGUAAUGUGUUGGUGUAGAAUAGAGUUACUUCAAAAGCAUGUUGGAAGCUACGGGUCAUUGGUUCAAGUCCAAUUCCCUCCA